rnacentral:sRNA from 1 species
GCUGGGCAUGAUGGCACAUUCCUGUAAUCCCAGUGGCUUAGGAGGCUGAGGCAGGAGGAUUGCAAGUUCAAAGCCAGCCUCAGCAAUGGUGAGGCCCUUAGCAAUUCAGUGAGACCCUGUCUCUA